rnacentral:rRNA from 1 species
UACGAAGGGGGCUAGCGUUGCUCGGAAUCACUGGGCGUAAAGGGCGCGUAGGCGGCCAUUCAAGUCGGGGGUGAAAGCCUGUGGCUCAACCACAGAAUUGCCUUCGAUACUGUUUGGCUUGAGUUUGGUAGAGGUUGGUGGAACUGCGAGUGUAGAGGUGAAAUUCGUAGAUAUUCGCAAGAACACCAGUGGCGAAGGCGGCCAACUGGACCAAUACUGGAACGCUGAGG